GACGAACGCUGGCGGCGUGCUUAACACAUGCAAGUCGAACGAAGAGCGAUGGAAGCUUGCUUCUAUCAAUCUUAGUGGCGAACGGGUGAGUAACGCGUAAUCAACCUGCCCUUCAGAGGGGGACAACAGUUGGAAACGACUGCUAAUACCGCAUACGAUCUAAUCUCGGCAUCGAGGAUAGAUGAAAGGUGGCCUCUACAUGUAAGCUAUCACUGAAGGAGGGGAUUGCGUCUGAUUAGCUAGUUGGAGGGGUAACGGCCCACCUAGGCGAUGAUCAGUAGCCGGUCUGGGAGGAUGAACGGCCACAUUGGGACUGAGACACGGCCCAGACUCCUACGGGAGGCAGCAGUGGGGAAUCUUCCGCAAUGGACGAAAGUCUGACGGAGCAACGCCGCGUGAGUGAUGACGGCCUUCGGGUUGUAAAGCUCUGUUAAUCGGGACGAAAGGCCUUCUUGCGAAUAGUGAGAAGGAUUGACGGUACCGGAAUAGAAAGCCACGGCUAACUACGUG
rnacentral:rRNA from 1 species